rnacentral:rRNA from 1 species
UACGUAGGGGGCAAGCGUUGUCCGGAAUUAUUGGGCGUAAAGAGCGCGUAGGCGGUCCGGUAAGUCGGCUGUGAAAGUCAAGGGCUCAACCCUUGAAAGCCGGCCGAUACUGUCGGACUAGAGUCCGGAAGAGGCGAGUGGAAUUCCCGGUGUAGCGGUGGAAUGCGCAGAUAUCAGGAGGAACACCAAUAGCGAAGGCAGCUUGCUGGGACGGUACUGACGCUAAGGCGCGAAAGCGUGGGGAGCGAACAGG